AUUAGCACAUAGCCUUGAUGUGUUGAGUAAUUACGUGAACAGAUUAAACUCCGCUUUAGCUAGUUAGCGUUAGCCCCACAAACCUGGACAAAAAGUGAAAAUGUCAUUGUAUUUUGGCCACAUAACAAAGUUUACAAUGCUUAAAGACAUAACCGAACGUUUAAUGUUUGCUGUUGAAGUAAAAAAAUAGAAAAGAAAGAAAGAAACUAUGUACUGCGAAGUCACUGAACGAAACAGAUUUACAGCACGAGAAAGAGAGGCCCUGAAUAAUAGAAAGAAAAAGAUACGUGACAGAAAUGACGGCAUAUGAUUAUGACUGAAGCAACAGCCGGCGGAGAAGAGGAAGAUCCUCCCACAGAUCUGAUUACUGCGAGCAUAGAACCGGACCUGGACCACGACAAGUGUCCGGAAUCAACAUGUGGGGUCUAAUAUCAUUAAAAUGCUUUCGGCACUUUCCACUGAACCAUUUUCAUGAAUAUUCUGUCGCGCUGAACAGAGAUGCAGGGUAUUACUUAGUGUUUUAAGGUCUAGACUUUCACAGCAAAUCAGACUUGUUGCUUCAAUUUGUAGCAUGUUUUUAAUUUUGUUAACUUUCAUGCUGAGCCUUUUUUGUCUUAAUAGUUUGUUAAAUUUGAAUCAGUGUGUAUGUGUCUCAUACACUCAUUGUGUCUUUGUUUUUAUGUGUAUAGCGCCCUCUACAUGCCAACAGAGGAGAAUGCAAGAGGAUCAUUGGUUGUUUACAUCUAUCUAUCUAUCUAUCUAUCUAUCUAUCUAUCUAUCUAUCUAUCUAUCUAUCUAUCUAUCUAUCUAUCUAUCUAUCUAUCUAUCUAUCUAUCUAUCUAUCUAUCUAUCUAUCUAUCUAUCUAUCUAUCUGACAUCAACUACUUUUAUUAACAUGAAUGGCGUGAAGCAACAAAAACAAACAAACAAACAAA